CAGAGGUUACUGCUAUCGAGAUUCGACUAAGCCAUSCGAGUUGAAUGUUCUUCGUGAACAUGGCGGACUGCUCAGUAACACGUGGACAACCUACCCUUGGGUCCGGCAUAAUCCUGGGAAACUGGGAAUAAUUCCGGAUAGGUCACCGAUGCUGGAAUGCGCGGUGGCCGAAAGCUCCGGCGCCCGAGGAUGGGUCUGCGGCCUAUCAGGGUUGUAGUGGGUGUAACGUACCUACUAGCCUACGACGGGUACGGGUUGUGAGAGCAAGAGCCCGGAGAUGGAUUCUGAGACACGAAUCCAGGCCCUACGGGGUGCAGCAGGCGCGAAAACUUUACAAUGCGGGAAACCGUGAUAAGGGGAUCUCGAGUGCCAGCAUAUAAUGUUGGCUGUCCAGAUGCCUAAAAAGCAUCUGUUAGCAAGGGCCGGGCAAGACCGGUGCCAGCCGCCGCGGUAACACCGGCGGCCCGAGUGGUAACCGCUAUUAUUGGGUCUAAAGGGUCUGUAGCCGGCCAGGUAAGUCCCUUGGGAAAUCUGGCAGCUCAACUGUCAGGCUGCUAGGGGAUACUGUUUGGCUUGGGACCGGGAGAGGUGAGAGGUACCUUGGGGGUAGGGGUGAAAUCUUGUGAUCCUCGAGGGACCACCAGUGGCGAAGGCGUCUCACCAGAACGGGUCCGACGGUAAGGGACGAAAGCUAGGGGCACGAACCGGAUUAGAUACCCGGGUAGUCCUAGCCGUAAACGAUGCUCGCUAGGUGUCAGUCACGGUGCGACCGUGAUUGGUGCCGUAGGGAAGCCGUGAAGCGAGCCACCUGGGAAGUAUGGCCGCAAGGCUGAAACUUAAAGGAAUUGGCGGGGKAGCACYACAACGGGUGGAGCCUGCGGUUAAUG
rnacentral:rRNA from 1 species